UCAGCUGCAUAAAUCCCCCUCUGUUUUGAAAGGGACUUUAAAGACGACGAGCUCUUCAAGCUAGAGAGUUCAGCGGACCAUGCAGAACAGUUCUAAAGAACACAAUUCCUUGCGUCCAGUAUAUACAGAGACCUCAUCAAAAAUUGGGCCAGAACUUGAAGAAGAAAGAAAGUCAUACAGAUUUGACAUGACAUGAGGGAACUGUAAGAAUGUUUGCUGUAGUCUUAAAGGCAAACAUCUCAAGGGUGCUCGAGAUUUUCCCUUUUGAACAUGGUGCUUGGCUGUGUAUGGAAUUAUGAGAUACAACCAGAAACUUGAGGAUGCUCCCUUUCGAAACACGACAUGGCCCUCACAGUACAAAAAGAUGUCGUAGGCUGAGACCGUCUUCUCAUGUUGAUGCAGGGAAGAGAUCAUGAAGGCAUUAGAAAGACUGUAGAAAGAGUUCAAAUUAUAUAAAGAUGUAAGAUUAUAAGGGCUUUCCAGCAGAGAUGCUUUUAGGACCGGUGGUCCUAAGGCUUUUAGUGGAGAUACCUAAAGAUAUCUUUGGAGAUACUUUCCAGUAAAGAGACGUUGGAGAGAAAGAUCAUCCUUAAAUCUACCCCGUGGAUGUUGCUUUGAUUCGGAUCAGUAUGGUGGAAAAGCUCUCUCUGAAACAGCAGCGGUCGUGGACCGCCGACACUGGACGCUGGUCUCCUAGCACGCAUGCACCUGAUCCUAUAUUUCUCCAGAUGGAAGGAUUUCUGACUGGUUGGAUGAAAUUAAUUAGGGAGGAGGGGGAAAUAAGCUGAUCUUGUUGGCUCUGGGAUUCGGCUUUUGACAACACGGUGUAAUUGUUCAAGGUGCAGAGCUUUGGCUCCUGUCGUGGUGGACAGGUGUGGGGAAGAUAAGGCGCGGCUUGUCACGUGAUGAGCACGCCGGCGAGGACUAAAUCCUGCUUGAUGCUCACUGGGGAAUAAAUCUGAAGACGGUGCUGGUGGUUUUUAGGGAUGGGAGGUUCAUUGGCAGCAGGGUGAGAAUCAGCACUAUUUUAGAAACACAAAGACACAGACACACCCCAAAAUAAGGUUGAACAAGGUCAAGUUAACUCUCACAGUGUAAACAUAAUCCACAUUUUGAGAGUGUAGAUAUAUACUGUAUAAUCUGUGAGUGUUAAUUUGACUUUUUUUACCAUUGGCGAUUUUACUGUGCACACACACAGCACACAAGCACUUUGCACAAAGAGGGUACAAAAUAGAGCCUAAAAUAAACCUUUGGAAGGCAAACUAAAUAUUAUGAGUUUCGUAAUGCUUUUAAAAUUUUGCAACCCUAUUGUCAAAAAUUGGUACCUCAAUAAUUUUAUCCCUGAUUUGUAAAUGAACAAAAAGGUUACAAAAAGUAAAAAAAUGUGUAAAAUUUAAUUUUGGAGCAACAUUUUAGAUUUUUUUGUGUCAUUGUUUUUUUAUAAUAACUUAAGUAAGAGGGUUAUAUUGUUGCAUUCGAGUUGCAUUUGUGAAAUGAAUGUUUUUUUAAAGGAAAAUACCUGAUACAAUUGUGAAUUUAGGUUUUCUUGAAUUGAACGGCUGUAUAUAUA